GAUGAAGAACGUAGCGAAAUGCGAUACGUAAUGUGAAUUGCAGAAUUCAGUGAAUCAUCGAGUCUUUGAACGCACAUUGCGCCCCCUGGUAUUCCGGGGGGCAUGCCUGUCCGAGCGUCAUUGCUGCCCUCAAGCACGGCUUGUGUGUUGGGCCUCCGUCCUCCUCCCGGGGGACGGGCCCGAAAGGCAGCGGCGGCACCGCGUCCGGUCCUCGAGCGUAUGGGGCUUCGUCACCCGCUCUUGUAGGCCCGGCCGGCGCUUGCCGACACAUCAAUCUUUUUUCCAGGUUGACCUCGGAUCAGGUAGGGAUACCCGCUGAACUUAAGCAUAUCAUAGCGGAGGA
rnacentral:misc_RNA from 1 species